CCUACGGGGUGCAGCAGUGAGGAAUAUUGGUCAAUGGCCGGAAGGCUGAACCAGCCAAGCCGCGUGAAGGACGAAGGUGCCGAGCAUUGUAAACUUCUUUUGUCAAGGGACAAAAUCAGGCUCGAGAGCCUGACCGAGGGUACUUGAAGAAAAAGCAUCGGCUAACUCCGUGCCAGCAGCCGCGGUAAUACGGAGGAUGCGAGCGUUAUCCGGAUUUAUUGGGUUUAAAGGGUGCGUAGGCGGACUGUUACGUCAGUUGUGAAAGUUUGCGGCUCGACCGUAAAAUUGCAGUUGAAAAUGGCAGU
rnacentral:rRNA from 1 species